UCCAGACUCCUACGGGAGGCAGCAGUGGGGAAUAUUGCACAAUGGGGGAAACCCUGAUGCAGCGACGCCGCGUGAGCGAUGAAGUAUUUCGGUAUGUAAAGCUCUAUCAGCAGGGAAGAAAAUGACGGUACCUGACUAAGAAGCCCCGGCUAAAUACGUGCCAGCAGCCGCGGUAAUACGUAUGGGGCAAGCGUUAUCCGGAUUUACUGGGUGUAAAGGGAGCGUAGGCGGCCUGGCAAGCCUGAUGUGAAAUACCGGGGCCCAACCCCGGGGCUGCAUUGGGAACUGCCAGGCUGGAGUGCCGGAGAGGCAGGCGGAAUUCCUAGUGUAGCGGUGAAAUGCGUAGAUAUUAGGAGGAACACCAGUGGCGAAGGCGGCUUGCUGGACUGUAAAUGACGCUGAGGCUCGAAAGCGUGGGGAGCAAACAGGAUUAGAUACCCUAGUAC
rnacentral:rRNA from 1 species